rnacentral:rRNA from 1 species
CCUACGGGAGGCUGCAGUGGGGAAUAUUGCACAAUGGGGGAAACCCUGAUGCAGCGACGCCGCGUGAGUGAAGAAGUAUUUCGGUACGUAAAGCUCUAUCAGCAGGGAAGAAAAUGACGGUACCUGACUAAGAAGCCCCGGCUAACUACGUGCCAGCAGCCGCGGUAAUACGUAGGGGGCAAGCGUUAUCCGGAUUUACUGGGUGUAAAGGGAGCGUAGACGGCAGCGCAAGUCUGGAGUGAAAUCCCAUGGCUUAACCAUGGAACUGCUUUGGAAACUGGGCAGCUAGAGUGCAGGAGAGGUAAGCAGAAUUCCUAGUGUAGCGGUGAAAUGCGUAGAGAUUAGGAGGAACACCAGUGGCGAAGGCGGCUUACUGGACUGUAACUGACGUUGAGGCUCGAAAGCGUGGGGAGCAAACAGGAUUAGAUACCCUAGUAGUC